rnacentral:misc_RNA from 1 species
GGUAGGAAUGGGUAAUUAUAGCGAGCUAGAAAGCCAAAGGUC